GCUACAAUGCUCUUAAACUCAUCUGCUGUGUGAUCCCUCUAAAAAAUCGCCCCUCCAGUCAGCACCUUGUAACGUGCGAGGCUGCAUUCACUCCCCUACUUUCGGCGUUUCUCCCUCUCCGCUUGCGCAAUGUAUUAAUGAAGAACCCGUAAAGUGUUAAAUGUUUGAAAUACAAAACCGCCGAAUUCCACAUGCUGAAAAAGGACUCCGCUACUCGUGCGCGCGGCACUGGUGUGUCUGUGCAAUAGACUCUGCAAAGAAAAACUACUCUCACACGCCUGCAAGUCCGCGGCUGCAAAAAGGACGCUGAAAACCUCAUUUUUCAGUUUCAAGACAAACGCUUAAAAAUCAAACUGGCUCACGUUCUUUCCAGCCAACCCAGUUUGACAGCUGCUCUUCACCCCACUUGGAGGACUGUCAGCAGCAAGAGGAUGGCAUCAGAGCUGGCAAUGAGCAACUCCGACCUGCCCACCAGUCCCCUGGCCAUGGAAUAUGUUAAUGACUUCGAUCUGAUGAAGUUUGAAGUGAAAAAGGAGCCGGUGGAGCCCGAUCGCAACAUCAGCCAGUGCAGUCGCCUUAUCGCCGGGGGAUCCUUGUCUUCCACCCCGAUGAGCACGCCGUGCAGCUCGGUGCCCCCUUCCCCAAGCUUCUCGGCGCCCAGUCCGGGCUCGGGGAGCGAGCAGAAGACACACAUAGAGGAUUUCUACUGGAUGUCCGGUUAUCAACAGCAGUUGAAUCCAGAGGCGCUGGGCUUCAGCCCCGAAGACGCAGUCGAGGCGCUGAUCAACAGCAGUCACCAGCUCCAGUCAUUCGAUGGCUAUGCAAGGGGCCAGCAGUUUGCUGGCGCAGCCGGAGCAGGAGGCACCAUGGCCGGGGAAGAGAUGGGGUCCGCAGCGGCGGUGGUGUCGGCCGUUAUCGCUGCGGCAGCCGCUCAGAACGGAGGGCAGCACCACCACCACCACCAUCACCACCACAGCAACAGCCACCACCAAGCACCUGGCGUCCAGUCCAACGGCACUUCUGGGACAAUUCACCCACACAUGCGCUUGGAUGACCGUUUUUCAGACGACCAGCUGGUCAGCAUGUCAGUGCGGGAGCUCAACCGGCAGCUACGGGGGGUCAGCAAGGAAGAAGUGAUCAGAUUGAAACAGAAGAGGAGGACCCUAAAGAACAGAGGCUACGCGCAGUCCUGCCGGUUCAAGCGGGUCCAGCAGCGGCACGUCCUGGAGGGAGAGAAGACGCAACUCGUCCAGCAGGUCGAUCACCUAAAGCAGGAGAUCUCCAGGCUGGUCCGGGAGAGGGACGCGUACAAAGAAAAGUAUGAGAAGCUCAUCAGCAACGGCUUCAGAGAAAAUGGAUCCAGCAGUGACAACAACCCUUCAUCCCCGGAGUUUUUCAUGUCAUCCAGAAAAUUCCUCCAUCUGUGAUUUCAAGCCCCAAUCGUCCGUGCCCUUGGCUCUCUGAGGCAGGCACACCUCAGGGGUUCGCCAUGCAAAGAGAUACUGGAGUUCAGAGCCCAGCAGAGGGUUGAAGGACCCAGAAUAUGCUGACAAAGAUAAAACACCAGAUAACCCAAUGACUGAGCAGUGAUGACAUCAGAGCGGCUGACCAAUUGCACGAAGACACCUACAAAGCACAACGUUCAAAAAUGACUUCACUGAAGAACAAAAGACAAGACCCGCUGAAAUCCCUACAGUGAAAUUCUUGAAAGCCUCUUACUACUCCCGAUUCCCUCCCUAAUAUUUUACCUCCAGCUUUUUUCUACAAAACACGAAAGAAAAAAAAAAAAAAAGAAAAAACAUACAGACUCAUACUCAUGAGAUGGUUGACAAUGUCAGAUAGAUACAUUGGAAGGACUAUUUUCUCUUCGGUGGGAAGAUCAUUGAUGCAUGCCUCUGUAAAUAGAUCAUAAUAAAACCCUAUUCUUAUUCCUAAUAUAGGAAACAUACAAAGUCAUUCUCACCAACUUCAUAAAUCUUCAUGACUGUGGAUUGAGUACUCAUGGUUCAAUAUUUUCCAUAUGUAGUCAGUAUUCUUCUUACCUCCUCAGAGACCAUGUAAUUAUCAUUUCCAUUAUAAUUUCUCUACUCUUUGGAGUUAUUUGGACUGUAAAAAGUGUACUUCCUAUUCUUCUUAUUCUCUUUACAUAACAGCCUAGUCUUCCUCUCCAAUAUCCACACUAGAACAUGUAAAUAGAGACGAAUGAGGACAACAGCAUGGAACAGACUAUAGUGUAUAUUUACCACUCCCCUAGUAGAUCACACAUCUCAAUAUGUGGAUAUUUCAGUUAACCAUUUUAAAAGUUUAAAAUACUUGAACUUGUUUUCUGAUAGUUAAAGACAUAGUCCUAGGUAUCUGGACAAUUUUCCUAUGUAUUUAAAUAGAUGCAUAAAGGCAUUAGCUAUAUGUAAUGAUAUUAUUUGACUACCUUAUAGGGAAGCAAACCAUUUGGUAUCAUCAAUCAGUUCCAUCUGUAAACAAACGGUCAAAAUGAA